AGGACGAACGCUGGCGGCGUGCUUAACACAUGCAAGUCGAGCGGAAAGGCCCUUCGGGGUACUCGAGCGGCGAACGGGUGAGUAACACGUGGGCAACCUGCCCUUAGCUCUGGGAUAGCUCCGGGAAACCGGAAUUAAAUACCGGAUAUGACCUAGGCCGACAUCGGCCGUGGUGGAAAGUUUUUUCGGCUAGGGAUGGACUCGCGGCCUAUCAGCUAGUUGGUGGGGUAAUGGCCUACCAAGGCGACGACGGGUAG
rnacentral:rRNA from 1 species